AAUGUUUCAGCGCCAUCUUUUGGAAUCGGAUAUAUUAUUUCUCUGUCAAAUUGCUAAUUAUAUUUUGACAUGCCUAUCUCUCCGCUCUCUAAUAAUUUCUCAAAGCGGAACUUUAUUCAUAACAAGAAAUCUGGUUUCCACUCUUUUCUGCGCAAUAAUUUUGUGCAGUCGUACGGAACUUGUCGUCAAUUUUCUGAUGGGAAAACCCCUGCUCUAUGCAUUUUCGAAUACUCAAAACAUUUUGAUUAUUCUCUUCAUCUGGAUUGUUGUGUUCUGCGUCACAUUCGAGCGUCUCGUUUCUUUCAUGGCCCACAAGACUUUGUACACAAUUUUGGCCUGUAUGAGCACCGUAUCUCGUCUAUUCGUAAUCAGACAAGCAAUGCUUAGUUAUGGCAAUUCUCAUAGUCCCUUGAUGCCUAUUCUUUUGGGAUUU